rnacentral:sRNA from 2 species
GCACGGUUACCGCCUAAUCGCUUCUCCCGUCUGCGGGAGCGGUGAGCCGGGGACCCACACGUAGUACUCGGGGUGAAUCCCCUCCGCUGCUCGCGGGGAGGGGUAGGGCUGAUCUUCCGGCCCGAAUCCGUCAGCUAACUCGGUCGGCGGGUGAACGGAAGAAAC